rnacentral:rRNA from 1 species
AACAAACGCUGGGCGGCGUGCCUAACACAUGCAAGUCGUACGAGAAAGUCGGCUUCGGCCGAUGAGUACAGUGGCGCACGGGUGAGUAGCGCGUGGGUAAUCUGCCCCCCGGUCAGGAAUAACCCGCCGAAAGGCGGGCUAAUACCCGAUAACACUGACGCUCCGCGGAGCGUCUUUCAAAGAAGGCCUCUGUUUACAAGCUUUCGCCGGAGGAUGAGCCCGCGUACCAUUAGCUAGUUGGCAGGGUAAUGGCCUACCAAGGCUACGAUGGUUAGCUGGUCUGAGAGGAUGGCCAGCCACAAUGGCACUGAGACACGGGCCAUACUCCUACGGGAGGCAGCAGUGGGGAAUUUUGCGCAAUGGGGGAAACCCUGACGCAGCAAUGCCGCGUGGAGGACGAAGGUCUUCGGAUUGUAAACUCCUUUUGCGGGGGACAAAUAGCGGCGUGAAUAACGCCGACUGAUGGUACUCCGUGAAUAAGCCACGGCUAACUUCGUG